AGCACCAAUUGUAGCUUUAUACUGUUGGCUAAAUUUCUUAUAUACAUAUCUGAAUUAAUAAGCAGUUAAAGGAUGGAUUCUGAAGGCAGCAAACUCAAAUUCUGUGUAUGAAAACUUGCAUAUUUGGAGGGGGAAAAUGUAAUUAAGCUGGACUAAUAAUUAGAAAAUAUUCACUGAACAAGAAAUUGAAUAAGGUCAGACAUGGCAUUAUUUAAGAGCUGCACCUUUCACCAGGACAUUAGCCUGCUAAAACUUCCAAGAAAUAGAAACAACAUCAAAGAAAAUGAAUAUAACUCAAAAGAAGUGGCAAAAUAAAUUAAGAGACUAGUAAAACAUUUGAAGAUUUUAUUGUUAUCAUCAUCAUGUAAUGGAUAC
rnacentral:misc_RNA from 1 species